ACAGAGGGGGCAAGCGUUGCUCGGAAUCACUGGGCGUAAAGGGCGCGUAGGCGGGAUGGCAAGUCAGUCGUGAAAUCUCUCGGCUCAACCGAGAAACGUCGGCUGAUACUGCCGUUCUUGAGGGAUGCAGAGGAGACUGGAAUUCCCGGUGUAGCGGUGAAAUGUGUAGAGAUCGGGAGGAACACCGGUGGCGAAGGCGGCUCACUGGCUCAUUACUGACGCUCAGGCGCGAUAGCGUGGGGAUCAAACAGGA
rnacentral:rRNA from 1 species